rnacentral:rRNA from 1 species
AUGCGACUCGGUGUUCGUCUUCAGUUUGAAAUCAAGCCAAUGGGGAAGUGCUUCGUGAAGUACCUUGCCAAAGUGGGUUGGCACUGGCUCAUGGUAGUGUCCAUAGUUCCUCCGCUUGCUGUUGGGGGUUCCCCCACCACGUCAUCGUCCAAGGGCGACACCGACUCCUUGCCCUUCUCUCCGUCAGCCACCACCUCCUUGCCCUUCAUGUUCUCUGUGUCGAUCUGCAUUAUGAACAGCAUGAAGUUCAAAGAUCAACAUUCAUUCCUAUCAUCCAAAGCUCCUAUAUUUAUCCACCCAAAUGCCACCUACUUACCCUCCACUGCAAGCAAACCCUCUCCGGGUGCUCGCUCGACGCUUGGUGACCACACAAGUUGGAGAACAUCAUGGAAGUGUGCUCAAACUUCACUAGAAUCAAGGACAUGCACAAGGAGGCAGACACUAUGGUAA